rnacentral:rRNA from 1 species
CAAUAGCGUAUAUUAAAGUUGUUGCGGUUAAAAAGCUCGUAGUUGGAUUUCUGCUGAGGACGACCGGUCCGCCCUCCGGGUGAGCAUCUGGUUCGGCCUUGGCAUCUUCUUGGUGAACGUAUCUGCACUUGACUGUGUGGUGCGGUACCCAGGACUUUUACUUUGAGGAAAUUAGAGUGUUUCAAGCAGGCAUACGCCUUGAAUACAUUAGCAUGGAAUAAUAAGAUAGGACCUCGGUUCUAUUUCUGUUUGGUUCUAGAGGCAUGAUGUAAUGAGUUAAUAGGAUUAGGGUUGGGGCAUUCGUAUUUAACUGUCAGAGGUGAAAUUCUUGGAUUUGUUAAAAGACGGACUACUGCGAAAAGCAUUUGCCAAGGAUGUUUUUCAUUGAUCAAGAACGAAAGUUAGGGGAUCGAAGACGAUUAGAU